GUUGUUGCCACAGUAAUCCUGCUCAGUACGAGAGGAACCGCAGAUUCAGACAUUUGGUUCAUGUACUUGGCUGAUAAGCCAAUGGUGCGAAGCUACCAUCUAAGGGAUUAUGACUGAACGCCUCUAAGUCAGAAUCCCGCCUGGAAAGCGACGAU
rnacentral:ncRNA from 1 species